rnacentral:rRNA from 1 species
GUGCAGCAGUCGCGAAACCUUUACACUGCGCGAAAGCGCGAUAAGGCCAUACCGAGUGCCGUCCGCUGAGGGUGGCUUUUCUCAGGUCUAAGUAGCCUGAGGAAUAAGGGGAGGGCAAGCCUGGUGUCAGCCGCCGCGGUAAUACCAGCUCCCCGAGUGGUCAGGACGAUUAUUGGGCCUAAAGCAUCCGUAGCCGGCUUCGUUAGUCUCUUGUUAAAUCCAACGGCCCAACCGUUGGAAUGCAGGGGAUACCGCUGAGCUAGGAGGCGGGAGAGGCGGACGGUACUCCAGAGGUAGGGGUAAAAUCCUAUGAUCUAUGGAAGACCACCAGUGGCGAAGGCGGUCCGCUAGAACGCGCCCGACGGUGAGGGAUGAAAGCUGGGGGAGCGAACCGGAUUAGAUACCCGGGUAGUCC